rnacentral:SRP_RNA from 2 species
GGGAGGUUGGCGCGGACGUGUCCCUCGCCAACCGGGUCAGAUCCGGAAGGAAGCAGCCCUAACGAGCCCGACAUGGGUCGUUGAUCAGCCUCCCACU